UAGGGAAUAUUGGACAAUGGGCGCAAGCCUGAUCCAGCCAUGCCGCGUGAGUGAAGAAGGCCCUCGGGUUGUAAAGCUCUUUUGUCCGGAAAGAAAAGCUUUGGGUUAAUACCCCGAAGUCCUGACGGUACCGGAAGAAUAAGCACCGGCUAACUUCGUGCCAGCAGCCGCGGUAAUACGAAGGGUGCAAGCGUUACUCGGAAUUACUGGGCGUAAAGCGUGCGUAGGUGGUUCGUUAAGUCUGAUGUGAAAGCCCUGGGCUCAACGUGGGAAUGGCAUUGGAUACUGGCGGGCUAGAGGGCGGUAGAGGGCAGUGGAAUUCCCGGUGUAGCAGUGAAAUGCGUAGAGAUCGGGAGGAACAUCUGUGGCGAAGGCGACUGCCUGGACCAGCACUGACACUGAGGCACGAAAGCGUGGGGAGCAAACAGG
rnacentral:rRNA from 1 species